rnacentral:rRNA from 1 species
AUUUCUAGAGAUAGAAAGUUACUUUCGGUACAUCGGUGACAGGUGGUGCAUGGUUGUCGUCAGCUCGUGUCGUGAGAUGUUGGGUUAAGUCCCGUAACGAGCGCAACCCUUGUCCUUAGUUACCAGCACGUAAUGGUGGGCACUCUAAGGAGACUGCCGGUGACAAACCGGAGGAAGGUGGGGAUGACGUCAAGUCAUCAUGGCCCUUACGGCCUGGGCUACACACGUGCUACAAUGGUCGGUACAAAGGGUUGCCAAGCCGCGAGGUGGAGCUAAUCCCAUAAAACCGAUCGUAGUCCGGAUCGCAGUCUGCAACUCGACUGCGUGAAGUCGGAAUCGCUAGUAAUCGUGAAUCAGAAUGUCACGGUGAAUACGUUCCCGGGCCUU